AAUAUUUGACAAUGGGGGCAACCCUGAUCCAGCCAUGCCGCGUGUGUGAAGAAGGUCUUCGGAUUGUAAAGCACUCUAAGUUGGGAGGAAGGGCUUUAGGUUAAUACACUGAAGUUCUGACGUUACCAACAGAAUAAGCACCGGCUAACUCUGUGCCAGAAGCAGCGGUAAUACAGACGGUGCAAGCGUUAAUCGGAAUUACUUGGCGUAAAGGGCGCGUAGGUUGUUCAGUAAGAUGGGUGUGAAAUCCCCGGGCUUAACCUGGGAACUGCUUUCAUAACUGCUGAGCUAGAGUACGGUAGAGGGUAGUGGAAUUUCCUGUGUAGCGGUGAAAUGCGUAGAUAUAGGAAGGAACACCAGUGGCGAAGGCGACUACCUGGACUGAUACUGACACUGAGGUGCGAAAGCGUGGGGAGCAAAC
rnacentral:rRNA from 1 species